UCACAAAAAAAAUAGCAGUGGCUACUCUAGUGUACUAGGAACAAUAUGCUGUAGGUUUGAUUCGCGUAACGCCGUUCCUCUUUUUUUAAAUCGUGCUGCGUGAUAGCUGGGACACCCUGUAUAUUUGUCCAGCCUUACACCGCCUGCAUAGAGUGAUGAGGAUUUGUCAGCAGAGCUCAUCAAUCUAACGCCGUUGUUAUCGAAAGCAGAGCAAAAUAACGCGACGUGGUGAAAAGUAUUCGUCUCUGAUAGACUGACAGGUUGAACACUGGUCAAAUUUACUUUGAAAUUCAACAUUUAGGUUUCGAGCUAACAAGCGCCAGCGCGUUCGGGCAGUAUGUUGAGGAAUAAGUCAUGUAGUGUAGCUACAAACGCGAUGACGUCCUUUGGUCAAACAAGGAAAACAGCAAUGACCGUCAACCACAGACGUAAGGGAAACUUCAGGCUAAGGAAUAACAGUUAAGCUAUUAAUCAGAUGCUGACUAGACAUGCGAUGGCCAUGAUGAUGAGCGCAUGCAUUGACUCAAUAUGGAAGUUGGAGUUCUUCGGCGUUGUGAAGAAUUAUUCGAUCGGAGACGUAUCGUUAAAAUAUUUUUAUAACCUUGAGAAAUCGCAAGAUUUUAACACUCUGGAGAUCAAUGUAUUUGCCAUCAGGAAGUACAUAACGGAUAAGAAAGUGCAAUCACACAAAUUUAUAUUUAAUGUGGCUUUACAAUGGUCCAUUGUGCUGCGGUAUAGAAUUGACUGAAAUAGUUCGCGAAUGGCACGUUGAUUGUAACCGACCAUAUACAUUACACCAUCUAUUAGUAAUAAACUUUAUUGAAAAUGAAUUCAAUCUUUCUCCCAUCGGAAAGGUUUGGCUGCUUUAUAGCGUGCCUCCAAAAAAUAUAUUAAUUUCGUCACACGAGUUGUGCGAAAUAGAGAUCGCGCGGACUGUACAACUUUGCUGGAAAAUUUCAGAUGUGUGUUUCAGGGGCGCGAAAGCUCUAAUUGAUUAUAUGAAAAGCUGAAUUGCGAAGUGAUCUUAAAAUCUGGUGUUCUUGUAGCUUAUUAUACAUCCAUUUGUCUAAGAAUGAUGUCGCAUUUGCAGUUCUGCUCCAAUCAAUAACACCAGCACUAAAGUUAUGUUUACUGUGCCUCAGUUUUCCCGAAUCCAGCCGAAUAUUUCUGAUGUGCACAUUAAGUAUGUGAAUAAGAAAAGGUACAGUUACGGAGUUGGUUAGGAUGUGGAAUUUAAAUGUCGAAGUUUUUCACCUGUUUCGCAAGAAACUUCAGAACCUUUAGCGGUCGGGCCGCCUAGAAUCCUCCGCCGCAUUGUCAUGAGCACCUUUCAAGCCUUAUGAUGACCUGUUACGAUGAAGCACUUAUAUGCUCACUGUACAUACAGUGGUACGACAUGGGUACACGCUAAAGAUUUUUAAAAUUUGUACCUGAUGCUCAGUUUACGGUUUUCAUGUUAAUUUGUUUUAAUGUUAGGUUGCCAACGACAUCUUGUGUUAACAAUGAAAACAGUUCAAUUCAAAUUCGAUUCGCUUCUUGGACGCAUUAGCGCUGCCCUAGAAAGUUUAGGCAUGUGCUUCAGUGGAAAUUUCGCGCGCCUUUUUUUCUUCUCACCAGACAGAGCUGAUAUAAGCAACACGUGCGUUCCCCCGAAAAAAAAAAAAAAGUGGUGAGAUGGGUUCUUGCGGUUUUUGCUUUGGAGAGAGAGCACGCGCCAAAGCACACACAACAUGCAUCACAUCCCUCUCCCAGAAAAAAUGGCAAGUCCUGAAAGGAGGAACGGAAUGUGCGAGGGAGGCGGGGCAUGCAAGCGGAGCGGCGGACCCCGGACCUCUCGCGGUUUUUUUUUUCUUUGUCACAGCGCAGGGGAGGGAAGCAAGCUCCGUGGCGUGCGUGAGUUCCCUUCCCGCCAAAAUCGUAGCUCUUUCGAGCGAGGACGUGCUGAAACACUGCACAGAGACGGGCAAGCACUCAGAAGCAUUUCGUUUGCCUUGAUCCUGGAGGCGCGCGGCCGUCUCCCGCUGCCGAGGAUUUGACGCGAACUCCUGGCAGAUCAGAAAUGUUCAGGCAAACGGCGGUUAUAUUUGUAUGUGGACCCAAUACUUCAUUGACGGGGAAAUACGGAACACUGCAACAAGGACUGGUGUGGAUAGCAUGCUGCCCUGGUCUCGCCAACUGAAAAGAAUUCUGGUGUGCUGUAAAUGCCGACUGCACAAUAUGUGACUGGCCCGCGGCCGCUUUGAAGGUAAGAUUGUGUUCUCAUUAAUCUAUUUAUUUGUUUUCCAGUGACAUUACGAGCCAACAAUGAAAAUCUCGAUCCACCCUGUCUCCACAUAUUAUCUAGUUUGUGCGCUGUCGAGCUUGAAGCACUUCUCAGAAUUUCAGCACACUCGCAUUUAUUUCUUUCCCGACAGAAGGACAAUGCAAGUUUCACAUCUCGAUGAGGGUGGCGAUUUACCGUCUCACAUCUCAAAGGUAAAACGUCGCAUCUGCGCACGUGUUCAGGGCCAAGAGCACAAGAACUGGCCGAAAGAAGGGAGCCGAUCCAACAAGAAUGCCGUCCGCUAUCCUGCAGCGAUCACAUGGACUGUACGGUUGCGUUGCACAAGGGCUGAUGCAAACGCUCCGUGCGAACAAUGUUGCAUGUAAAAUUAGUGCUUCUAUACAAUUGGAAAAUAAACAUCUAAAGAGAGAAAACUUAUA